rnacentral:rRNA from 1 species
AACGAACGCUGGCGGCAUGCCUAACACAUGCAAGUCGAACGAGACCUUCGGGUCUAGUGGCGCACGGGUGCGUAACGCGUGGGAACCUGCCUUUAGGUUCGGAAUAACUCAGAGAAAUUUGAGCUAAUACCGGAUAAUGUCUUCGGACCAAAGAUUUAUCGCCUUUAGAUGGGCCCGCGUUGGAUUAGCUAGUUGGUGGGUAAAGGCCUACCAAGGCGACGAUCCAUAGCUGGUCUGAGAGGAUGAUCAGCCACACUGGGACUGAGACACGGCCCAGACUCCUACGGGAGGCAGCAGUGGGGAAUAUUGGACAAUGGGCGAAAGCCUGAUCCAGCAAUGCCGCGUGAGUGAUGAAGG